CGGUAGAGCGGCGAACGGCUGAGUAACACGUUGGAACCUGCCCCAGACUCAGGGAUAACCCAUCGAAAGGUGGGCUAAUACCGGAUGGUCUCGCGAGAGUAAAGCUUUUGCGGUCUGGGAGGGGCCUGCGGCCUAUCAGUUAGUUGGUAAGGUAACGGCUUACCAAGACUAUGACGGGUAACUGGUCUGAGAGGACGACCAGUCAGAAUGGGACUGAGACACGGCCCAUACUCC
rnacentral:rRNA from 1 species